rnacentral:lncRNA from 1 species
UCUCAGCGUAGCGAGGACCGUUAAGGAAACGGUUUGUCGCUCCGAUUUUUCUCAACGCGAUACAGCCAGUCUAGGAUAGGUAAAGAAAUAUCACUGUUGCGGAAAAAGAGACAUUAUUUUCGAUUAAUUAACUCGGCUGUGGAGUUUUCUAGCUCCGUCUCGCGGCGGCUUAGCCUUCGAUACGAGUUCGUGGUCUGUUGCGUUACGUUGCGUCGCGUGGCUAGUUUAUUUUGUAUUCCGAUCACAAACAGACGCCUACAAUGUGUAAGAACAGCACUUGCAAUACCCGCAAGGACUAAUCGGAGCAGGUAAUUGAGGCAUUCUUUUGUUCAAUCAUCGAUCAAUGGAUAAUGUAAGUGAUGAAAUAUUCAUUUAUCUAGAGGAAAAUUAUUCAAGGGGACUUUUUUGAGCCCUAAAUGUGCAGUGCUCAAUGAAGGCUCCGUAGUCACAGCAAAAGUCCCGUAGCCACAGAAUUUAGAAAAUGAAAAUCCCUGACGUUUUCCUAAUUUCUCUGUCACAUUUUGGUACAAUUCCCUGAGAAUUAAUUGAGAUGUAAAGAUGGUUAAAAAGCAAGAUUUGAAAUUGUUUUCAGUCAAAAUGAAUUGUUCAAAACGUCAAACCCACCCUGGAAAGAUAAUAAAGGUACCUUGACAAUUUUCUCUGACAUUUUCGUAAUUUUCCGUGACAUUUCCCGGUUUUCCCGAUUUUCCCGGCAUCCCCGGAAUUCCCUGACUGUGGCAACUCUGACAUAGUUGAAUAUUUUGAAACGUUUUAAUCCAGAUACGUAAUCGAUAGUCACGGAUAAUUAUUUUCCAAUUUUCGCUGAAACCAACAACGAUCUCGCGGUUGAAACUAUAGCGAAAUCACGAGAUAUUUUGGUUGGUUCCCCUCGAAAAAAAUGAAAUAUAUUUGAAAAUUUUGAAACGUCGUAAUCCAGCUAUGUAAUCGAUAGUCAUUGAUAAUUAUUUUUCAAUUUUCGCUGAAACCGGCAACGCCCUCCGGCUGAAACCGGCGCGGCGCCAGUACACCGCUCUCGCUAAGAGCGGCCAGCUUGUUGCUUCCUGAGGAGGGAGCUUUUCUGGUUGCCAGUGGAGUCAACGCCACGAUUUCACAUCGCGAGUCUCCUGGAAAAUCCAGGGAUUCUUGCCGGCACUUGACAUCGCAGCGGGUUUGAUUGCGGGAUAAUUGUUGUUUUCCGCCCGUGGAAUAAUAAUUACGCCAACUAAUGAUUGAUUAUUGACGUACCGUUGGACAUCUGAGCAUCGGCUCACACGU